UUUCGCAUCGGCCUGUGUCAAUCGAGGUUGAGUUUAGUGAGGGUUGAAAGUUUUCGAUCUAGAUUGCAGAUCACUAUUGUCACUUUAUAUAAACUGAAAGUAUGCGUUGUUGAGUGUUUGUUUUUGUGGGCAUUUGACUGAACAGCCCAGACAAAUAUUGCUACCAACAUGGCACUUCGAAACAGACCACCGCAGUGUUAGAUGACUGACAAGAUCUAUGGGGGGGCCCCCUUUGGGCCCCCCCAUACCAACUUCGUCUUCAAAGGAAUCUAGUGCCAUGGGACUCCAGUGUCUUCAAAACAUCCUCGGAAUACACGUGUAUGAAUGGUCCACCGAAGGGUUGAUCUGGAAGCCACCACGGUCCAUGCAGUAAUCUGCUGCGUGGGCCGUAGUGGCUUCCAGAGCCAUCUUUCGGUCUUGGUCAGGAUUUGUUACAGUUGCCCUUCAAUGUAGCAGGCUACGGGUUUCUGAAGAAGCCUGCUUUACGUAGCAUUGGAGUACAAAUAUUGUGCAAAAUGCUCAUGUAAUUGCACUAGCACUGGUAACCUGUAGAUUAGCUUAGUUUAACGUCAUCGGUGCUGUCUGUCAAAUGUGUGGCUUACUUUAAGUCCACAAGGCCCUCUGGUAAACCACGUUGGAACACCCCUGGACAAGGUGAUUAGUCACUGGGUGUGUGCUAAAGUUUUGUUCCAUUUUUCACUAGUUGGUUAAGGUUUGGUAGAAUUGUUUGGAUGCUAGCGACGUGAUGGCGUAUGUACAAGAGCCUACCGUGGCCAGGCCUCAGUUGCGACGUCCACGGCCAGAUGGCCUAGUGUGAGUGCAACCUUGAUUGCAUUUGUAUACUGUUUACCAUUGGAUGUUUAUGCAAUUUGGCUUAAUUCAUCCGCUGUAAAGCUGCAUUUGACUAUUCCAGGGUCGUUUUGUACAGGCUUUCAAUUGACCAUGUUGACUAGUUUGUGGGAAGUUUUUUUUUUUUUUUCUUUUACCCUUGCUUACAAUCCAACGGUGGCGACCACUUAUGCAACUGGGCUGUGAACCUUGCAAUUCUAGUUGCAUAUUUGUACACGCAAGCUUGUCCAUUUCUAUCGCCAUCACUAACACUAGCUUCAGCAUUUCCUUGUAGGCCAUUAGCUGACUUGUGUAUUGGAGCGAUGAUUUGGGUAUUUUAAGAUGCUUGAAAACCUAAAAUAAAGCAAAAUGCGUGUCUGGUGUGCAAGAGCCAAUUUGUUGGCUUGCAGUAGUCGAGGAGUUGCCGUAGGUCGUAAGCCAUGUGGAGGUUGUGGCAAUGGAGGCUUGUGGUAGAUCUGCCAUCCAAGAAAGGUUAAUUCUUCUGAAGCAUGAUUAAUAGUUUAGUAAAUUGAAUCUAUUCAUAUCGAA